GGGGAUUCAUGUGCAGUUAAUUGUACUGCGAUGAACAUUUAGCCUUGUAGAUUAGAUCUGCAUGCAUGAAUCAAAGUGUAAACCAACGCGUUUCUGCUCUGGAGGACUUUCAAAGCAGCAGACGACUCUCUAGUGUCUGUCUUGUGAAACAUGUCACGUUGACCAUUGGGAAUGCUCUUCAUGUGAGUCCAAACGGAAUCUCUUGACGUUAUACGAUAUUGAAAUGUAGGGGGAUUUAGUUUGGAUUUACCAUGUUACACUGUGCAUUUGAAACGACUGUCAAAAUCUAUGCAACCAACCAAUAGCGCUUAGUGUCUCUGUAUACCUUUUACAUGUUAUAAUAAUACACAUAAAUACUUUCGUUUUGUCACCGGCAGGCAAACCGACAUUUAGAUGACUGUAUUGGCAGCUUCUUGACUGUAGAUGAGCCCAUCUCAUAAGUGAUUGUGUCCAUUUGGUUUGUGGAUCACCAUGGUAGAGUCUCUAAGUAAAGAGUGUAAAGAUGACUUGACAGUUUAGAGCAAUUUGAUCUUGACGGAGUAUUUGUGCCUCUCUCGCCUCAGUUUGCUACUUAUUUUUUUUAUUUUAGCCCGACACGUCACAAUUACGUCUAUUGCUUUAACAACUGUCUUUUUUGUUGUUGUGGAAUUGCUGGUGGCUUGAGAAAUGGGCAACGGAAUGUGGCAAAAAGAUACGGCGAACCAAGAAGCCUUGCGUUGUUUCUUAGGUUGAUUGAUACGUUUUUUCCCAUGGUUAUACUUAGUGCCUAAAUUUAAGUAAGCCAAUUUUCUGAACCCUUUUUUUUUUAUUUGAUUUUUUUUUUAACCUGCAUUUCAUCUAAUAUUUAAGGUGUUUUUAGGUUUAUCAGAUGAGUUUUUGGGCCCAUUUGUUUUUCUAACCCAUCGCUCUAUACAGUACUUUAUUUUUGUCCAUAACACUUUGAAAUGUUUAGGUCAGAAGAAGUGUCCGUUUUUUUCACCGUGUGUACAGGAAAUGUAUGUAAAACUGAUCACUACUUCGGGUUGUGUCCACACACUUCAUCACAUUUCAUCUAAUUUGUUAACUAGCAACUUUAAGACUAAUGCACCAACAUUAAAAAAAGUAGAUUUUAA
ensembl:lncRNA